rnacentral:rRNA from 1 species
UACGUAGGGGGCAAGCGUUGUCCGGAAUCAUUGGGCGUAAAGAGCGUGUAGGCGGUCCGGUAAGUCGGCUGUGAAAGUCCAGGGCUCAACCCUGGGAUGCCGGUCGAUACUGCCGGACUAGAGUUCGGAAGAGGCGAGUGGAAUUCCUGGUGUAGCGGUGAAAUGCGCAGAUAUCAGGAGGAACACCGGUGGCGAAGGCGGGUCUCUGGGCCGAUACUGACGCUGAGGAGCGAAGGCGUGGGGAGCGAACAGG